rnacentral:rRNA from 1 species
UACAGGGGGUGCAAACGUUGCUCGGAAUCAUUGGGCGUAAAGCGCACGUAGGCGGUUCGUUAUGUCGGAUGUGAAAGCCCUUGGCUUAACCGAGGAAGUGCAUCCGAAACUGGCGAGCUAGAGUACUAAAGAGGAUCGCGGAAUUCUCGGUGUAGAGGUGAAAUUCGUAGAUAUCGAGAGGAACACCGGUGGCGAAGGCGGCCUUCUGGACAGUGACUGACGCUGAGACGCGAAAGCGUGGGGAGCAAACAGG